UAGGCUGCCAUCUCCACUUCAUACAAGCUUCCAGGAUCAAGCCUGGUAAGGGUGAGGCGGUGCUGGCUGGCUGGAAUGCCGGAAAUGGUCCAGUCGUCAGAGGAGUUUGUGACCUGCUGGAGAAAGCGACGGGGGUAAGGAUCCCAUCAAGGGACGUUUGCAAGGAUAGCUCGAAGGCCAGACUGACAGUGCUGGCGACUCCCCCAGAGGCCACACCUCCAUCUCCUGCAACCUCCUCAUCUAAUGUUCUCUAUGCUUGCAUAAGGAGCCAAACACAGUCCUUCGGUUCUUGUUCUAACGGGAGACGCCAAUAAGAACGAUGACAAAGGCUCUAGCAAUGGAAAGAGCACCGUGGAGAGCUCACUGUGCGUGCACUACCUCACCGUCCUCAGGUCUCAGCAACUGAUCUUCGUCCCAUUCCCACGUCUCAAGCAAAGAGCCUAAGCUUAGAGAGCUGAGGAGUUAGUCCAAGGCUGCGGAGCUAGUGAGCACAGAAACCCUCACUGGAGUCCAAAGAGCAUGCGCAGAAUGUGACCUGUUCUCACGAGAGGAUUCUGGGCGUAGGAGACCCCGAGUUCAAGUUCUGGCUGUACAACCGUGAGCAAACUCCCUCACUGGUGAGCCCUGAGCCGUUCAUUUCUAAGAAGAGGCAAAUAUGGUGUCUUGGGUUAUUCUGAAGUCGAAUUAGAUGACCUGGCACAGUUGUUUCCCUGGGCUGUAGUGAUGGACAGUGAACUCAGAUGCUUUAUCUCAGUUUGCUGUGGAAGCAUGUGGACUUUAGUUCUCCUUUCGACGGCGGGGAUAGGGACAUGAAACUAACACUGACACACAGUGUAAACCGUUUCCUUCUGCACUUGCACUGAAGUGAUUAGAGAUACGCAUUCAAUUGGAAAUGCUCCCUGAGAAGCUAGAAGCCAAGAGCUCAGCAACAAUUCCAUCCACAGACUUUUCUAGCCUCAGGCUCAGCCCUACCUGGCCUCCCUCACCAGAGGAUACUGGCACCUGCUCCCUCACCAGAGGAUACUGGCACCUGGCAAUGACAGCACUGAACUGUACCAUCCAUUGUAGUUUUAUCUCUGAAAUGUUUUCCAUGAUUUCAUCUCCUUUAUAAGAGGAGGAGAUCUUUCUCGUGUUCUCUACCUCACCUGAUCCUUGCUGAACACACAGUAGAUGCCCAGUCAGUACAAGCAUCAACUGAAAUGGCUCAAGCUAAAGAGUUCGAUUUAUUUGAGAAAAGAACUGUACAGUCUUCCUGCUC